CAACUUUCAGCAAUGGAUCUCUUGGCUCUCGCAUUGCGAUAUGUAAUGUGAAUUGCAGAUCUACAGUGAAUCAUCGAAUCUUUGAACGCACAUUGCGCUCCUCGGUGUUCCGAGGAGCAUGCCUGUUUGAGUGUCAGUA
rnacentral:rRNA from 1 species